AGAGAAAGAAGAAGAACGAUCGUUUUCGAAUGAUUCUUUGUCUUUGUCUUCUUCUUUUUCUUUUUCAUCUUCUUCUCCUCCUCCUCCUCCAUAGUUGUCGUUUUCUAAAUUCGAGGAAG
rnacentral:ribozyme from 14 species